AUACGGAGGGUGCGAAGCGUUGUUCGGAAUUAUUGGGCGUAAAGCGCGUGUAGGCGGUCUUUUAAGUCUGAUGUGAAAGCCCCGGGCUCAACCUGGGAAGUGCAUUUGGAAACUGGGAGACUUGAGUACGGGAGAGGAGAGUGGAAUUCCUAGUGUAGGAGUGAAAUCCGUAGAUAUUAGGAGGAACACCGGUGGCGAAGGCGGCUCUCUGGACCGAUACUGACGCUGAGACGCGAAAGCGUGGGUAGC
rnacentral:rRNA from 1 species